AAAACGGCAAAAAAAAA
rnacentral:sRNA from 1 species